GCGCAGCAGGCGAGAAUUUUUCUCAAUGGGGGAAACCCUGAAGGAGCGACGCCGCGUGGAGGAUGAAGGCUUUCGGGUUGUAAACUCCUGUCAUUUGAGAACAAGUGGCCGAACGUAACUACUUCGGCCUUGAUAGUAUCAGAAGAGGAAGGGACGGCUAACUCUGUGCCAGCAGCCGCGGUAAUACAGAGGUCUCAAGCGUUGUUCGGAUUCACUGGGCGUAAAGGGUGCGUAGGUGGCGCCGUAAGUCGGGUGUGAAAUUUCGGAGCUUAACUCCGAAACUGCAUUCGAUACUGCGGUGCUUGAGGACUGGAGAGGAGACUGGAAUUUACGGUGUAGCAGUGAAAUGCGUAGAGAUCGUAAGGAAGACCAGAGGCGAAGGCGGGUCUCUGGACAGUUCCUGACACUGAGGCACGAAGGCCAGGGGAGCAAACGGGAUUAGAUACCCCUGUAGU
rnacentral:rRNA from 1 species